rnacentral:rRNA from 1 species
CCUACGGGAGGCAGCAGUGGGGAAUAUUGGGCAAUGGACGAAAGUCUGACCCAGCGACGCCGCGUGAGGGAUGAAGGCCUUCGGGUUGUAAACCUCUUUCAGUAGGGAAGAAGCGAAAGUGACGGUACCUAAAGAAGAAGCACCGGCUAACUAUGUGCCAGCAGCCGCGGUAAUACAUAGGGUGCAAGCGUUGUCCGGAAUUAUUGGGCGUAAAGAGCUCGUAGGUGGUUUGUUGCGUCGGGUGUGAAAUUCAGGGGCUCAACCCCUGACCUGCACUCGAUACGGGCAAGCUAGAGUUUGGUAGGGGAGACUGGAAUUCCUGGUGUAGCGGUGGAAUGCGCAGAUAUCAGGAGGAACACCAAUGGCGAAGGCAGGUCUCUGGGCCAAUACUGACACUGAGGAGCGAAAGCGCGGGGAGCGAACAGGAUUAGAUACCCUGGUAGUCCGCGCCGUAAACGAUGGGCGCUAGUUGUGGGGACCUUCCACGGUUUCUGCGACGCAGCUACGCAUAGUACGCCCGCCGUCGGGUAGGUACGAGUCGCGAAGAAGUUAAACGUUAACGAAACGGAAAGUUAAGUACGGCGUUGAGACGUUGCCGAACGGACGACGACGAGGGAGGAGG